GACGAACCGUGCAAACGUUAUUCGGAUUCACUGGGCUUAAAGGGCGCGUAGGCGGGCUAUCAAGUCCGGGGUGAAAUACUCCAGCUUAACUGGAGAAUUGCCCCUGAUACUGGUAGUCUGGAGGGAAAUAGGGGUGUGUGGAACUUCCGGUGGAGCGGUGAAAUGCGUAGAUAUCGGAAGGAACGCCGGUGGCGAAAGCGACACACUGGAUUUCUCCUGACGCUGAGGCGCGAAAGCCAGGGGAGCAAACGGG
rnacentral:rRNA from 1 species